GGCAGUGUGGCAUAGUGGUUUGAUCAUUGGACUAUGUAUCUGGAGACCAGGGUUCAAAUCCCAGCUCAGUCA